GUGCUCCCUUUGGCAGCACAUGUACUAAAAUUGGAAUGAUACAGAGAAGAUAAGCAUGGCCCCUGCGCAAGGAUGGCAAGCAAAUUCGUGAAGUGUUCCAUAUUUUU
ensembl:snRNA U6 U6 spliceosomal RNA